GGAGGCUGUGGCUCAGUGGUUGAACAUCUGUUUGACAUUCAGAAGUUCUGAGGUUCAAUCUCCAGCAUCUUCA
rnacentral:tRNA from 1 species